rnacentral:rRNA from 1 species
UACGUAGGGGGCGAGCGUUGUCCGGAAUCACUGGGCGUAAAGGGCGUCUAGGCGGCUUAGUAAGCGGAAUGUGAAAGCCCAGGGCUCAACCCUGGAAAGCCGUUCCGAACUACUAGGCUUGAGUUCGGGAGAGGGCAGUGGAAUUCCCGGUGUAGCGGUGAAAUGUUUAGAUAUCGGGAGGAACACCAGUGGCGAAGGCGGCUGCCUGGACCGAUACUGACGCUGAAGCGCGAAAGCCAGGGUAGCGAACGGG